GACAAGAAAUAACAAUACAGGGCAAUUGUCUUGUAAUUGGAAUGAUGGUGACCUAAACCCUCACCAGAGUAACAAUUGGAGGGCAAGUCUGGUGCCAGCAGCCGCGGUAAUUCCAGCUCCAAUAGCGUAUAUUAAACUUGUUGCAGUUAAAAAGCUCGUAGUUGAAUUUCUGCGUUAUCGAGUUAUUGACUCUUGUCUUUAAUCGAUUUCGCUUUUGGGAUUUAUCCCUUUUUACUUUGAGAAAAUUAGAGUGUUUCAAGCAGACUUUUGUCUUGAAUACUUCAGCAUGGAAUAAUAGAGUAGGACUUUGGUUCUAUUUUGUUGGUUUUUGAACCUUAGUAAUGGUUAAUAGGAACGGUUGGGGGCAUUCGUAUUUAACUGUCAGAGGUGAAAUUCUUAG
rnacentral:rRNA from 1 species